AAUACGCAAUAAACUUUGACCUGUCGUAGUACAUCUAAAUAGCUUAAUUCAUAGCUUAAUUAAUUCACUGCGUACAGAUUCUCCAAGUCAUGUUUGAAACGCAACUCGACUUCGCACGUCCUUAGCGCAAAACUGUACAUAGCGCAACGUAGGUACAUUCGUAGCGCGUAGCUACGACUCGUAGCCGGCGGCUGCUAUAGUAACGGCAGUUCGCUGGCCGCCCGUCCCAAGCGUAGACGCGCGUCCGGCGCUACGAAAACCGCGCGCCGUACGUUUUCCCACAGCCGCCGUUUCGGCGUAACUCAAAAAAACGUGUUUUAAUUAACACCGACCGAUGUUGGCGGUUCUCGUGUCGCGCGUUUUUCGCGACGUCUCCUGUGUGUUCGGAAUACGAGCAAAUUCUAGUCAUCCUUAAGCAAUGUAGUCCAUAAUAUAGUAUGUGUAAUGUACCUUGAUAAUUUGAUGAAGUGAUUAACGUAAAUAAUAAAAACAUAAAGUGAGUGACAGUUAAAAAAUUGCGGACCGCGUUAGUGUCGUUUCACAUGUUGCGGUCUUGGCGAACGAGGUGGGGUGCGGCUCACCUAUGACGAACAACAA